rfam:Rattus norvegicus chromosome 9, whole genome shotgun sequence.
GGGGAUUUAGCUCAGUGGUAGAGCGCUUGCCUAGCAAGCACAAGGCCCUGGGUUCGGUCCUCAGCUCCCCCC